CCUACGGGUGGCAGCAGUGGGGAAUAUUGCACAAUGGGGGAAACCCUGAUGCAGCGACGCCGCGUGAGUGAAGAAGUAUUUCGUUAUGUAAAGCUCUAUCAGCAGGGAAGAAAAUGACGGUACCUGACUAAGAAGCCCCGGCUAACUACGUGCCAGCAGCCGCGGUAAUACGUAGGGGGCAAGCGUUAUCCGGAUUUACUGGGUGUAAAGGGAGCGUAGACGGCUGUGCAAGUCUGAAGUGAAAGGCGGGGGCUCAACCCCCGAACUGCUUUGGAAACUGUACGGCGGGAGUGCUGGAGAGGUAAGCGGAAUUCCUAGUGUAGCGGUGAAAUGCGUAGAUAUUAGGAGGAACACCAGUGGCGAAGGCGGCUUGCUGGACAGUAACUGACGUUGAGGCUCGAAAGCGUGGGGAGCAAACAGGAUUAGAUACCCGGGUAGUC
rnacentral:rRNA from 1 species